AGAGUUCUUUCCAGGCUCAGGAUGAACGCUAGCGACAGGCUUAACACAUGCAAGUCGAGGGGCAGCGGGGUUGUAGCAAUACAACUGCCGGCGACCGGCGCACGGGUGAGUAACACGUAUGUAACCUGCCCUCUGCAGGGGGAUAAGCGGAAGAAAUUCCGUCUAAUACCGCAUAAUACAAUUUGGAGACAUCUCCGGGUUGUCAAAGGAGUGAUCCGGCAGAGGAUGGACAUGCGGCGCAUUAGCUAGUCGGCGGGGUAACGGCCCACCGAGGCUACGAUGCGUAGGGGUUCUGAGAGGAAGGUCCCCCACACUGGUACUGAGACACGGACCAGACUCCUACGGGAGGCAGCAGUGAGGAAUAUUGGUCAAUGGGCGGAAGCCUGAACCAGCCAAGUCGCGUGAGGGAAGACGGUCCUAUGGAUUGUAAACCUCUUUUGCAGGGGAGCAAGGCGCGGUACGUGUACCGCGAAGGAGAGUACCCUGAGAAGAAGCAUCGGCUAACUCCGUGCCAGCAGCCGCGGUAAUACGGAGGAUGCGAGCGUUAUCCGGAUUUAUUGGGUUUAAAGGGUGCGCAGGCGGACUGUUAAGUCAGCGGUAAAAUGUCGGUGCUCAACACCGGCCGGCCGUUGAAACUGGCAGCCUUGAGUGAGCGAGAAGUAUGCGGAAUGCGUGGUGUAGCGGUGAAAUGCAUAGAUAUCACGCAGAACUCCGAUUGCGAAGGCAGCAUACCGGCGCUCAACUGACGCUCAGGCACGAAAGCGUGGGUAUCGAACAGGCUUAGAUACCCUGGUAGUCCACGCAGUAAACGAUGAAUGCUCACUGUCCGGGCCGUUUAAGGCCUGGGUGGUCAAGCGAAAGCGUUAAGCAUUCCGCCUGGGGAGUACGCCGGCAACGGUGAAACUCAAAGGAAUUGACGGGGGCCCGCACAAGCGGAGGAACAUGUGGUUUAAUUCGAUGAUACGCGAGGAACCUUACCCGGGCUCAAACGGAAGGGGACAGUAUGAGAAAUCAUACAUUCCUUCGGGACCGCUUCCGAGGUGCUGCAUGGUUGUCGUCAGCUCGUGCCGUGAGGUGUCGGCUUAAGUGCCAUAACGAGCGCAACCCCUAUCGACAGUUGCUAGCAGGUAAAGCUGAGGACUCUGUCGAGACUGCCGGCGCAAGCUGUGAGGAAGGCGGGGAUGACGUCAAAUCAGCACGGCCCUUACGUCCGGGGCGACACACGUGUUACAAUGGCAGGUACAGCGGGAAGCCACCCGGCGACGGGGCGCAGAACCCGAAAACCUGUCUCAGUUCGGAUUGGAGUCUGCAACCCGACUCCAUGAAGCUGGAUUCGCUAGUAAUCGCGCAUCAGCCACGGCGCGG
rnacentral:rRNA from 1 species